rnacentral:rRNA from 1 species
CCUACGGGUGGCAGCAGUGGGGAAUAUUGGGCAAUGGGCGCAAGCCUGACCCAGCAACGCCGCGUGAAGGAAGAAGGCUUUCGGGUUUUAAACUUCUUUUCUCAGGGACGAAGCAAGUGACGGUACCUGAGGAAUAAGCCACGGCUAACUACGUGCCAGCAGCCGCGGUAAUACGUAGGUGGCAAGCGUUAUCCGGAUUUACUGGGUGUAAAGGGCGUGUAGGCGGGAAAGCAAGUCAGAUGUGAAAACCAUGGGCUCAACCUGUGGCCUGCAUUUGAGACUGUUUUGCUUGAGUACUGGAGAGGCAGACGGAAUUCCUAGUGUAGCGGUGAAAUGCGUAGAGAUUAGGAGGAACACCAGUGGCGAAGGCGGUCUGCUGGACAGCAACUGACGCUGAGGCGCGAAAGCGUGGGGAGCAAACAGGAUUAGAUACCCGAGUAGUC